rnacentral:misc_RNA from 1 species
GGCCUCGCUGCUCGCUUUCAUCUAGCGCCCCCCGUUGGGCGUGGGAUGAACUCGUUGGUGCUUUGCGUGUUCCUUUGUAAGCCAUUGGCUUAUCUCUCGGCCCACGCUCGGUUACCUGACCCUCGGAUGCUGAAAAUUAAGUGGGCAAGGGGUUGAGAAACCCUCUUGAUAAGCCCGAGCCUUGCGCUCGUCGCUCGAACCGAAAGACGUUGUGGCUCGCCUUGGCGUUCUUGAACCGUUGGUUCUCGUAACGGCCAUGCG